UAGGGAAUCUUCCGCAAUGGACGCAAGUCUGACGGAGCAACGCCGCGUGAGUGAAGAAGGAUUUCGGUUCGUAAAACUCUGUUGUUAGAGAAGAGCAGCGCAUAGAGUAACUGUUAUGCGUGUGACGGUAUCUAACCAGAAAGCCACGGCUAACUACGUGCCAGCAGCCGCGGUAAUACGUAGGUGGCAAGCGUUGUCCGGAUUUAUUGGGCGUAAAGCGAGCGCAGGCGGUCAAUUAAGUCUGAUGUGAAAGCCCCCGGCUCAACCGGGGAGGGGCAUUGGAAACUGGUUGACUUGAGUGCAGAAGAGGAGAGUGGAAUUCCAUGUGUAGCGGUGAAAUGCGUAGAUAUAUGGAGGAACACCAGUGGCGAAGGCGACUCUCUGGUCUGUAACUGACGCUGAGGCUCGAAAGCGUGGGUAGCAAACAGG
rnacentral:rRNA from 1 species